rnacentral:rRNA from 1 species
UACGUAGGUGGCAAGCGUUAUCCGGAUUUAUUGGGCGUAAAGCGCUCGCAGGCGGUCUUUUAAGUCUGAUGUGAAAGCCCACGGCUCAACCGUGGAGGGUCAUUGGAAACUGGAAGACUUGAGUGCAGAAGAGGAGAGUGGAAUUCCACGUGUAGCGGUGAAAUGCGUAGAGAUGUGGAGGAACACCAGUGGCGAAGGCGACUCUCUGGUCUGUAACUGACGCUGAGGAGCGAAAGCGUGGGGAGCGAACAGG